rnacentral:rRNA from 1 species
UUACUUUUAAUUUUUGAUGGAUUAAGGAUGUUACUAGCUUUUUAUCCUAAAUUAGGUUGGAUGCAAUGAGUUAGGGUAUAAGUCAAAAUAGUCUUAGAAAUAAGAGAUUAAGUAUGUAAAAAUAAUUGAUUAAGAGCGUGCCAGCGGUUGCGGUUAAACGAUAGAUAGGUCCUUGAGUAGGUGAUAUUAGGUGAAGUUAAGAUAUUUAUAGGUGAAAUUUGUAGAUAUCCUGUUAUCUAUCAGAUAAUUUAGGAUGUGUGAAUUGGAUUAGAUACCCAAGUAAUCCUAAUAAAGGUAGCAUAUGAGGAGUAAAUUAAAGAUUUUGGCGGUGUUGUUUAAUAGUAGGGGGACUUGUACAUUAAAGGGAUAACAAACCUGGUUUAAUACUUAUUGUGUGGCUUCUUGUAUGAUUGUCUAGGUAUGUGUAGUGUCUAUGAUAAAUAAAUGUAGGGGUUAUCAAUAAGGUGGAGUGAGUCUUUUAAGUAAGUAACUUAAUAUAGAUUAAGUUAAUAAAGAAUUUACAAGUAAAUCAUUUACAGGUUGAAUAAAUCAACAAUGAGUACAUAUUGCCCGUCAAUCCCCCAUAGGGGGAUAAGUCGUAACAUAGUGAGUCAACUGGAAGGUGGACUUU